CUUCUUUUGAAGAUGCCUCGAUAAGGCCAAGUAUGCCACUCCGUGGC
rnacentral:tRNA from 1 species